rnacentral:ncRNA from 1 species
AUAAUAGUUGUGAUUAGGAAAAGUAGUCGAUAACCGCUCUAACAGAGAGUCCUAUAUGAUGAGACAGGAUAGAAGUUAUUGAUGAACACACACCUAUGAACUGUAGAACUGAACCAAGUAGGUCCUACCGAGUGGAUUCGUUAUCCAAGUUGACUAAGCCAACAUGAGGUCUAAUUCGUAAGGAUUAGAUAAAAUGAGGUGGAACCGCGUGAAAACGUCCUCUUA